rnacentral:misc_RNA from 1 species
AAGAGUUAGGGUCUUCUCGGCCCGACCUCCCAACCCUUUGUCUAUUGAACCUCUGUUGCUUCGGCGGACCCGUCCCCUCAGGGGACCGCCGGAGGACCGUCGUAAGGCGUCCUCUGGCCCGCGCCCGCCGGUGGCCAACCAUUUAAACUCUUGAUUGAAUCAUGUCAUAUUGUCUAAGUUUUAUAAGUAAUAAAAGCA